ensembl:lncRNA LYPLAL1-DT LYPLAL1 divergent transcript
AGAGAGGCGCUAUGCCUCCCUGCCGGCGACACGAUACAGCGCUGCAGAACCGACCCCGACGCAGCCGCCAUCGCUGAUGCCACUGCCAGUCAUGCGGUUCCGCCCCUGCGUUGCCGCGCGGGGCCGCGCACGCAAAUACGCAGGCACGCGCGGGAGCACGCCCGGGAGCGCGCAUGCGCAGCGCUGCUGGCCCGCUCUCUGAGGAGCUUUCAAUACUUUGGGGUCAAGUUUGAGGCAGUUGUAACUGUACUGAGUUUAGUUUUGCUAAUAAUGGUAUUCUACGUGUGUCAGCCUCGUGUGGACUUCUGUAAUGACUAAUGGAUAUGUUUAUAUCCUGAGCAUUUGCUGUAGGAAUUUUAAAUGCAAUCCCAAAACUCAAGAUUACCUUAUUUGGAGAAAUAUUCGUGUUACUAUGUUUAAAAUUUAAUAGAACCAUAUUUUACCUUUCACUUUGGGACUCGCACAGGAUGUUUGCAGCUCUUGAUAUACAGGAACUAGAACGUGUCUUUUAAGAGCAUGCGGUUUUAUAAUUACGUGGAAGUAUGCUACGCAAGGGAAAAAAGCCUCUUGCUAGUGUUAAGGGUCUUCAUAAACAGAAACCGCAAGGAACCUGGGAUCUGACAGCUGUUGGAGGAAUGCCUGUGAGGAAGGAGGAGGAACAGAAGAAUGCUUUGAUGUCUUAAAUGGUACAUCCAAACUUAAGUGAAAUAGAGCUGUGAGGACAUUUUGGGGAGAAGUGACCUAGAUAAGCACUGACUGUUGCAUUCAUCUCUCUUCUUGCUGAUUGUGAUGAUUUCCUGUGCCAUAGCCAUUCAAAGUCUGCCAAAAAAGCUAGCAUGUAAUUUUCUUUCUCUACUUCUCUACAUUUGGAGGAUGGAAAUGUAGAUGUUCUUCCAUUGUGCCAGCCUCCUCAUUCUUCUUUCUCCAAUGCCGCAUCUUCCUGCAAACUUCCUGCCACAACUCAAACAACAGGAAAAUAAAUGAUCUGAAAUCCUCCUGAACUGCAGCCUACCUAUCGUGGUCUCUAUGGGUGCAAACUUCCUUCCAGAAGCUUGUUCAGCUGGCUAAAACAGGACAUUUGCCAAUGCAGCCAAAAGUUGGGUCUUAUACUGGCUACCUCCUAUGCAGAGUGAAAAACUUUUCUUUCUCCCACAGCCACAGACAUCGCUCCUCUUCCAGCUCAACAUCUUUCAAAGGGAUGGCUCUCAGUCCCGAAAUGAAAAGAAAAGGUGGCUUGGUGCAAAUCAUUCUCUUUAUCAGCAAAAGAAAUACCAAAGCCUGUGUCCUUCUGACAUAGUGAGCUGUCGAGGUAGUCCAGGGAAAAGAUGACAGUGAAUUGAGUUAUGGGAUGGCAAUGGAGACUGAAAAGAAUCUGUGUUUAUUAUAUGUAUAUAUAUCAUUAAGGUAGAACUAGUGGAUUUUCUCUGGCACUGCACAUGGGAAGCAAGUGAAGGAGAGUGAUCUAGAAUGACGCCACCAUUUUUGCCUGAGAAAUUCAGUACUCAGAGGUGUCUGUCAUUCAGAGAGAUGGAGGAAACAAGAAGAGGAGCAAGUUGGGGGAGAGGGUAAGCAGAAUCAAAAACUGUGUUGAUACAUUAACUUUAGGAUGCAUAGUAGACAUCAGAGUACAGAUGGAGUUUAGGAGCAAAGUUAUAUAGAGAGAUAAAUUUGAGAACCUGUAAUUCUUUUAUUUGUGGCAGAUAAUUAGACAAAUGAUUUCUAAAUAUUCCCAUGACUACUACAGAACAUCAAUAAAUUCCUUAAUAAUACUAGAAGGAGAAAUGUGGUUUAAAUUUUCCCAGGGGUUUUCUAACCUUUCAGCAAUUCUCUUUCUUUUCAGCAAAUGUUUGGUAAUUAUGCUGGAAUAUUGGGGUGGGGGUGCUUUCUUUUUAAGGCCGCUAUUUCUUUAUGUAUUUCUCUGGUCUUUAAGCUCUCAAGUAGAGUCAUCUGAUGUGAUUUCUCAGCUAAUAUGGGCAUUUUAUAACUUGCCCAGAGCCUCAUUGUUUUCAAUUCUGUUUUUUUUCCCCCAUUAGUUCUUUAACCAUAUUUGUGACUUUGUAUUUUGAGACAUUCUGGAACAUUCUCCGGUAGAAUAAAACUAUAAUACUAUGGGAAUAAAAAAUACAAUACUAAGAAAACAACCAUAGGGCUGGGCGCAGUGGCUCACACCUGUAAUCCCAACACUUUGGGAGGCCGAGGCAGGCGGAUCACAAGAUCAAGAGAUUGAGACCAUCCUGGCCAACAGAGUGAAACCCCAUCUGUACUAAAAAUACAAAAAUUAGCUGGGCAUGAUGGCGCCCACCUGUAGUCCCAGCUACUCGGGAGGCUGAGGCAAGAGAAUUGCUUGAACCUGCUCUUUUUUUGACAUGACCACACCCUGCAGCAGCUCGCCCACUUACUCCACUAUGUGACAUUGGACAAGUCAUUUAGCAUCUCCUGGCACAAUUUCCCCACUUGUACGGUAGAGGUAAUAAUCCUAAUGCCUACCAGAAGGUAAUAAAUAAGGAUUAAAUUAGAUAACACAGGUAAAGUGCUUAGAAUGGUGUUUAGAAUUUAGUAAGUCAUGGCUAUUGUUAU